GGGGCGGGGCGCGGGCCGGCGCCCCGCUGAUGGCACCACCCGGGAGCCCAGGGAGGAGCGACUUUUUCGGCGAAUUGGGGGCAAUGGACAGGAGAGGCGCUGUGACCCUGCACUUUGGGAAGUUUUAUAUCGUAUUAAACUGUUAGCUUGACUCCAAUCCCUUAAUCAAUUUUAUCUCUUCUUUGACACUGAAUCUUGUGUUAUUGUAUGUGUAAAGGCAUGAAAUCGCCUUUACUGUCAUCAUUGUCAUCAUCACCAUCAUCAUCUAGUGCUAAUAUAAUAACUAUUACUUAUCUCCUAAACGUUUUUCACAUCUGCCUCCUUUUCCUCCCCACUCCCGAUGCCUUAGUCCAAGGGAUGAAGAGAGCAUUGCAGUGGGAGAAACCUGGGUUCUGAGAGAUCUUGGGCAAAUUACUUACCCUCACAACUUCUUUACCUUUUUGGAGAUGGUAAUACCGGUGCCACUUUGGUAGGGUUGCUGUUGCAUAAACAAGAUUAAGUAUGUAAUGGGCUUAGGAAGUGCCUGGUUUUAAUUCAUCUGCUAUGAUUAAAAUGAUCAUUAUUAUUCAGACUUUGAUCAUCUUUCUUUAAUAGACUUAAGGGUUUCUAACUGUUUUCAGCUGCAGUUUUGUUCCCUUUAAUGCGCAGGAGAACAGAGGAUCUCUCCAAGUGCAUAUGAGAUCCAGAGUCUAGGGUCACUCCUUGACUUAGAAUCCAUGUGGCUCCCACAUGCCCUCUGGAUAAAGUCCAAGCUUCUUAAUAUGGUCUACAAGCCCAAUCCAAAUCUUCUCACCACCUGCUUCCAUCCAUUUGUUUCUGCAUUUUCUCUCUCUUCACCAACACAUAAUUACUUAUUAUUUAUUUUUCUGCCCAUUUCCAGAUUCCCAACAUGCCAUUUAUAGCCUCCCUGAUUUUGAACCUGGAGGUGUAAUUAGCAACCUGAAUCUUACAUUGUUACUAGUUUUUAUUAAAACUAGCUUAAGACAAGUGCUCCUUCUUUGAGGUUUCCCUUUCAUCUUGAUUUGUUUCUAAAUCCUCUGGAUUUGUGGGGGUACAAGAGGGAUGGGGGAGCACUCCCUGACUUCCGCAUACCAGCAGGAAGUUGGCUGCCUCAUUGUUUCUUGCUGCUACAAGGGUUGCAGCCAAAACACUGGCCCUCCAGAGGUCCUCAGUGGCAUAAGAGGACUCAGUGCCAAGAGGCUACAGGGACUCACGGACUUCAUUAUCAAAGCCCUGUGCUGACUGACUUCCAGGUGUACUAUGUCAGUGGAGAACCUGGCAGAUUGGUGGAAGGAGAAGAUUAUGAACAUCUGGCAAUUAAAGGUCUUCAUUUGUUGAAGAAGGAGAAGGAGAAGAAAGAAGAAAAGGAGGAGGAGGAAGAGGAGGAGAAGGAGGAGGAGAGAAAAGAAAGAAAAAACAAAACAAAAAAACCACAACUAGACAAAGUCAUUCAUGUGUAAAAUAUAUCUCUCAUUCCUAUCCUGUUCUGAACUCCCUCCCCUUCACCACCGAAUUUGUGAAAUUUUAAUGAAUUACCUGAAUUAAAGUAUCAAAUGAAUUGAGAAAAAAAUGAAAAAUAUAUAAUUGAAAAUGUUUAAAAACGAUAGUAUUUAUUACUGUACUUUGAGUUUUGAAGAAUUUAAAACUACAGUUGACACUGUAUCCUGAAAUAAAUUCUAGAAGGCUUAAAUAAUUUAAUGUAUAUUUUUAAAAACACAAAUAAGUGAAUAAGUAGAAGAAAACAGAAUGGAAUAUUCCAUCUCUAAAGACUGAAGACUUUCCAGAGCUUAGAAAACUAUUAAAAAUCAGCCUGGCCAACAUGGUGAAACCCCAUCUCUACUAAAAAUACAAAAAUCGGCCAGGCUCAAUGGCUCACACCUGUAAUCCCAGCACUUUGGGAGGCUGAGGCAAGGGGAUCACCUGAGGUCAGGAGUUCAAGACCAGCCUGGCUAACAUGGUGAAACCCCAUUUCUAUUAAAUUACAAAAAAUUAGCCAGGUGUGGUGGCAUACACCUAUAAUCCCAGCUAUUCAGGAGGCUGAAGCAGAAGAAUCGCUCGAACCUGGGAGGCAGAAGCUGCAGUGAGCCAAGAUCAUGCCAUUGCACUCAGUUUGGGAAACAAGACUGAAACUCUGGGCCGGGCACAGUGGCAGGCAGGUCAUGAGGUCAAGAGACCAAGACCAUCCUGGCCAACAUGGUAAAACCACAUCUCUAUUAAAAAUACAAAAAUUAGCUGGGCAUGGUGGUGUGUGCCUAUAGUCCCAGCUACUAAGGGAGGCUGAGGCAAAAGAAUCACUUGAACCCGGGAGGCGGAGGUGGCAGUGAGCUCAGAACGAGCCACUGCAUUCCAGCCUGGCAACAAAGUGAGAUUCCAUCUCAAAAAAAAAAAAAAAAAAUCAGAAAGGUAUGAUGAACAGGUUUUAUGUUAGUACCUAAAAAAUAGAAUAUAUUUACUACAAAAGGUUGAUGUCUAUAUUACAUAAAGAAUACAUGCAGAACAACUUUUAAAUCUCACUAUUAGAUUGAAGCAGCAAGGUUCCGCUUUUCACCUAUUAGAGAAAAAAAAAACUAUGAAGAUAAUAGCCACAUGAUUGUUAAAAAGGAUUAAAAUUGGUGCUCCUCAGUGCUCCUGGAAGCAGUAUGAAUUGCUGUAACUGUUUUGGAAAGUUGCUUGGUAAUAUGAAUUGUGAAUAUCCAUCUAAGAAUAUUUAUGCCCUUUAAUCCAGCAAUUUAAUUUCUCAGAAUUUUUAUCAGGCGAAUGAUCCUGAAUAUAAGAGAGAAAGAUUCAACACAUCAUUUUAUUUAUUUAUUUUUAAAACUUUUGUAGAGAGAGUCUCACUCUGUUGCCCAGGUUUGUCUCGUCUCAAACUCCUGAGCUCAAGCAUCUUCCCACCUUGGCCUCCCAAAGUGCUGGGAUUAUAAGCAUGAGCCACUGUGUCCAAC
rnacentral:lncRNA from 1 species